AGAGUUUGAUCCUGGCUCAGGAUGAACGCUGGCGGCGUGCUUAACACAUGCAAGUCGAACGAAGCAUUUGCGACAGAUUUCUUCGGGAUGAAGUUGCUUAUGACUGAGUGGCGGACGGGUGAGUAACGCGUGGGUAACCUGCCUUGUACGUGGGGGAUAGCAGCUAGGGAAACGGCUAGGUAAUACCGCAUAAGCGCACAAUGUUGCAUGACAUGGUGUAGAAAACUCCGGUAGUAUAAGAUCGGACCGCGUCUG
rnacentral:rRNA from 1 species